UACGUAGGGUCCGAGCGUUGUCCGGAAUUAUUGGGCGUAAAGAGCUCGUAGGCGGUUUGUCGCGUCUGCUGUGAAAUCCCGAGGCUCAACCUCGGGCCUGCAGUGGGUACGGGCAGACUGGAGUGCGGUAGGGGAGAAUGGAAUUCCUGGUGUAGCGGUGGAAUGCGCAGAUAUCAGGAGGAACACCGAUGGCGAAGGCAGUUCUCUGGGCCGUAACUGACGCUGAGGAGCGAAAGCGUGGGGAGCAAACGGG
rnacentral:rRNA from 1 species